GAGAGUUUGAUCCUGGCUCAGGACGAACGCUGGCGGCGCGCCUAACACAUGCAAGUCGAACGGAGCAAAGAGGAGCUUGCUUUUCUUUGCUUAGUGGCGAACGGGUGAGUAACGCGUGAGUAACCUGCCCUGGAGUGGGGGACAACAGUUGGAAACGACUGCUAAUACCGCAUAAGCCCACGGAGCCGCAUGGCUCUGAGGGAAAAGGAGAAAUUUGCUUCAGGAUGGACUCGCGUCCAAUUAGCUAGUUGGUGAGGUAACGGCCCACCAAGGCGACGAUUGGUAGCCGGACUGAGAGGUUGAACGGCCACAUUGGGACUGAGACACGGCCCAGACUCCUACGGGAGGCAGCAGUGGGGGAUAUUGCACAAUGGGGGAAACCCUGAUGCAGCGACGCCGCGUGGAGGAAGAAGGUUUUCGGAUUGUAAACUCCUGUCGUUAGGGACGAUAAUGACGGUACCUAACAAGAAAGCACCGGCUAACUACGUGCCAGCAGCCGCGGUAAAACGUAGGGUGCAAGCGUUGUCCGGAAUUACUGGGUGUAAAGGGAGCGCAGGCGGACCGGCAAGUUGGAAGUGAAAACCAUGGGCUCAACCCAUGAAUUGCUUUCAAAACUGCUGGCCUUGAGUAGUGCAGAGGUAGGCGGAAUUCCCGGUGUAGCGGUGGAAUGCGUAGAUAUCGGGAGGAACACCAGUGGCGAAGGCGGCCUACUGGGCACCAACUGACGCUGAGGCUCGAAAGUAUGGGUAGCAAACAGGAUUAGAUACCCUGGUAGUCCAUACCGUAAACGAUGAUUACUAGGUGUUGGAGGAUUGACCCCUUCAGUGCCGCAGUUAACACAAUAAGUAAUCCACCUGGGGAGUACGACCGCAAGGUUGAAACUCAAAGGAAUUGACGGGGGCCCGCACAAGCAGUGGAGUAUGUGGUUUAAUUCGAAGCAACGCGAAGAACCUUACCAGGUCUUGACAUCCGAUGCAUAGUGCAGAGAUGCAUGAAGUCCUUCGGGACAUCGAGACAGGUGGUGCAUGGUUGUCGUCAGCUCGUGUCGUGAGAUGUUGGGUUAAGUCCCGCAACGAGCGCAACCCUUAUUGCCAGUUACUACGCAAGAGGACUCUGGCGAGACUGCCGUUGACAAAACGGAGGAAG
rnacentral:rRNA from 1 species